AGUAGAGGUUACUGUAGGGACCACUAGUGUACAGUAGAGGUGACUUGAGAGACCACUAGGGUACAGAAUGAGAUACUGGAGAGACCACUAGUGUACAGUAUAGGUUACUGGAAAGACCACUAUUGUAUAGUAGAGGUUACUGGAAAGACCACAAGUGUACAGUAGAGGUUACUGGAAAGACCACAAGUGUACAGUAGAGGUUACUGUAGAGACCCCUAGUGUACAGUAGAGGUUCCUGGAAAGACCACUAGUGUACAGGAGAGGUUACUUGAGAGACCACUAGGGUACAGAAUGAGAUACUGGAGAGACCACUAGUGUACAUUAGAGGUUACUGCAGAGACCACUAGUGUACUGUAGAAGUUACUGGAGAGACCACUAGUGUACAGUAGAGGUUACUGGAGAGACCACUCCUUCUGAGGAUUGUUUUCUUUUAUCUUAAGGAUCUCUGUCCCACUGCACCGUUCUUCUUCAUGUACAGUAUAUGCCCCAUAAUUUCAAUAUGAAUAGAACUGUAGCGUUAAUCUAAGACACUUCCGGUGACCAGGUAGAUCCGUCAGAGCAACUGUUUGACAAUUUGGGUUCAUGGUUCAAAUACAGGCCUAGCCACUGAAUUUUUACACACAGAACACUUUUGUUAAUUUUGUUUUUGUUUAUUUCAUCUCUUUUAUUUUUUCGUAACAGUCGAUCUUGCAGGGAAUAUUUUCCUUUUUAGAAAUGAUUUAUCAAAGCUAUUGGCCUGCUUGAAAAAUAAUUUUCGACUGCAUAGUUUCAGUUUGUGGCAGUGGUUUGGGGAUCCUUCGUCUGAUGUGUCUGUAAGGUCAUUAUAUUUCAAUGCCUCUGCUAGGGGUCCUGAGAAAUUGUUUCAAAAUGUCACUUCAUAGGUAAGGGAGUGGUUAAGGCCCGAUGUCAUUAGUUAUGAUUUCCUCAUACAGUAUUUACAAUUGAUUUGAACCUGUUACUUAUAUAUUGCUUCAUGCUUAUUUUGUUUGUAUUGGGUAGAUUAAUUCAUAAUAAUUUGUAAUAUACAGUGAAAUUUGUCAAAUCUGACCCGGAGUACUCCGACAUCCUAUCUUACCCAAUUAUAAUUAAUUACUAAUGAUUAACUGCUAAAUGACUUUUAAUGAGAGAUGUAUUUCAACAUGCUGUCUUAUCUGACCAAUAUGUUGUGUUCCACAGGUGUCGAUUAAGGCAGGUUUCACUGUACUUCUGAGUAUUGAUUAAAAUAAACAAUGAUUGCUCUUUCA